rnacentral:rRNA from 1 species
CCUACGGGAGGCAGCAGUGGGGAAUAUUGGGCAAUGGGCGCAAGCCUGACCCAGCAACGCCGCGUGAAGGAAGAAGGCUUUCGGGUUGUAAACUUCUUUUCUCAGGGACGAAGCAAGUGACGGUACCUGAGGAAUAAGCCACGGCUAACUACGUGCCAGCAGCCGCGGUAAUACGUAGGUGGCAAGCGUUAUCCGGAUUUACUGGGUGUAAAGGGCGUGUAGGCGGGACUGCAAGUCAGAUGUGAAAACCAGGGGCUCAACCCAGGGACUGCAUUUGAAACUGUAGGUCUUGAGUGCUGGAGAGGCAGACGGAAUUCCUGGUGUAGCGGUGAAAUGCGUAGAUAUUAGGAGGAACACCAGUGGCGAAGGCGGUCUGCUGGACAGCAACUGACGCUGAGGCGCGAAAGCGUGGGGAGCAAACAGGAUUAGAUACCCGAGUAGUC